CGGAGCUAACGCGUUAAGUCGACCGCCUGGGGAGUACGGCCGCAAGGUUAAAACUCAAAUGAAUUGACGGGGGCCCGCACAAGCGGUGGAGCAUGUGGUUUAAUUCGAUGCAACGCGAAGAACCUUACCUACUCUUGACAUCCAGAGAACUUACCAGAGAUGCUUUGGUGCCUUCGGGAACUCUGAGACAGGUGCUGCAUGGCUGUCGUCAGCUCGUGUUGUGAAAUGUUGGGUUAAGUCCCGCAACGAGCGCAACCCUUAUCCUUUGUUGCCAGCGGUYAGGCCGGGAACUCAAAGGAGACUGCCAGUGAUAAACUGGAGGAAGGUGGGGAUGACGUCAAGUCAUCAUGGCCCUUACGAGUAGGGCUACACACGUGCUACAAUGGCGCAUACAAAGAGAAGCGACCUCGCGAGAGCAAGCGGACCUCAUAAAGUGCGUCGUAGUCCGGAUUGGAGUCUGCAACUCGACUCCAUGAAGUCGGAAUCGCUAGUAAUCGUAGAUCAGAAUGCUACGGUGAAUACGUUCCCGGGCCUUGUACACACCGCCCGUCACACCAUGGGAGUGGGUUGCAAAAGAAGUA
rnacentral:rRNA from 1 species